CCUACGGGAGGCAGCAGUGGGGAAUAUUGCACAAUGGGGGGAACCCUGAUGCAGCGACGCCGCGUGGGUGAAGGAGUAUUUCGGUAUGUAAAGCCCUAACAGCAGGGAAGAAAAAUGACGGUACCUGACUAAGAAGCACCGGCUAAAUACGUGCCAGCAGCCGAGGUAAUACGUAUGGUGCAAGCGUUAUCCGGAUUUACUGGGUGUAAAGGGAGCGCAGGCGGCGCGUUAAGCCUGGUGUGAAAGUCCGCGGCCCAACCGCGGGACUGCAUUGGGAACUGGCGCGCUGGAGUGCCGGAGGGGUAGGCGGAAUUCCUAGUGUAGCGGUGAAAUGCGUAGAUAUUAGGAGGAACACCAGUGGCGAAGGCGGCCUACUGGACGGUGACUGACGCUGAGGCUCGAAAGCGUGGGGAGCAAACAGGAUUAGAUACCCCUGUAGUC
rnacentral:rRNA from 1 species